AUCAAGCUGACGAGUCCGAAAUAGGACGAAAUGCGCGUUCUAGAU
rnacentral:hammerhead_ribozyme from 1 species